GAUGAACGCUGGCGGCGUGCCUAAUACAUGCAAGUCGAGCGAACGGACGAGAAGCUUGCUUCUCUGAUGUUAGCGGCGGACGGGUGAGUAACACGUGGAUAACCUACCUAUAAGACUGGGAUAACUUCGGGAAACCGGAGCUAAUACCGGAUAAUAUUUUGAACCUCAUGGUUCAAAAGUGAAAGACGGUCUUGCUGUCACUUAUAGAUGGAUCCGCGCUGCAUUAGCUAGUUGGUAAGGUAACGGCUUACCAAGGCAACGAUGCAUAGCCGACCUGAGAGGGUGAUCGGCCACACUGGAACUGAGACACGGUCCAGACUCCUACGGGAGGCAGCAGUAGGGAAUCUUCCGCAAUGGGCGAAAGCCUGACGGAGCAACGCCGCGUGAGUGAUGAAGGUCUUCGGAUCGUAAAACUCUGUUAUUAGGGAAGAACAUAUGUGUAAGUAACUGUGCACAUCUUGACGGUACCUAAUCAGAAAGCCACGGCUAACUACGUG
rnacentral:rRNA from 1 species